rnacentral:rRNA from 1 species
CCUACGGGAGGCAGCAGUAAGGAAUAUUGGUCAAUGGAGGCAACUCUGAACCAGCCAUGCCGCGUGCAGGAAGACUGCCCUAUGGGUUGUAAACUGCUUUUAUCCGGGAAUAAACCUGCUUACGUGUAAGUAGCUGAAUGUACCGGAAGAAUAAGGAUCGGCUAACUCCGUGCCAGCAGCCGCGGUAAUACGGAGGAUCCAAGCGUUAUCCGGAUUUAUUGGGUUUAAAGGGUGCGUAGGCGGCCUGUUAAGUCAGGGGUGAAAGACGGUAGCUCAACUAUCGCAGUGCCCUUGAUACUGAUGGGCUUGAAUGGACUAGAGGUAGGCGGAAUGAGACAAGUAGCGGUGAAAUGCAUAGAUAUGUCUCAGAACACCGAUUGCGAAGGCAGCUUACUAUGGUCUUAUUGACGCUGAGGCACGAAAGCGUGGGGAUCAAACAGGAUUAGAUACCCUGGUAGUCCACGCCCUAAACGAUGAACACUCGCUGUUGGCGAUACACAUNAGCGCGAGAGAAGAGUAGUAGUUCGUAACCGUGGAGUUACGCCGCGAGGUUAGAAGACANAGAGUUAGAGCGNGAGAGNGCGAGCGACGACGAGGAGGAGG